rnacentral:rRNA from 1 species
GACGAACGCUGGCGGCGUGCUUAACACAUGCAAGUCGAACGAAGAGCGAUGGAAGCUUGCUUCUAUCAAUCUUAGUGGCGAACGGGUGAGUAACGCGUAAUCAACCUGCCCUUCAGAGGGGGACAACAGUUGGAAACGACUGCUAAUACCGCAUACGAUCCAAUCUCGGCAUCGGGACUGGAUGAAAGGUGGCCUCUAUUUAUAAGCUAUCACUGAAGGAGGGGAUUGCGUCUGAUUAGCUAGUUGGAGGGGUAACGGCCCACCAAGGCGAUGAUCAGUAGCCGGUCUGAGAGGAUGCACGGCCACAUUGGGACUGAGACACGGCCCAGACUCCUACGGGAGGCAGCAGUGGGGAAUCUUCCGCAAUGGACGAAAGUCUGACGGAGCAACGCCGCGUGAGUGAUGACGGCCUUCGGGUUGUAAAGCUCUGUUAAUCGGGACGAAUGGUUCUUGUGCGAAUAGUGCGAGGAUUUGACGGUACCGGAAUAGAAAGCCACGGCUAACUACGUG